CAGGAAGAUCAGUUUGGAGGCUGCUACAGGAAUUCAGGGUCUGGUUUGGAGGUGAGCACUCAACCCAAACUGAGCCUACCGCAGAACUGUGCUAUCUUGCCCAAGAUGAUUUGUCAAGAAGAGCACAGAUGACUCAUGCUGAGCCUAUCAGGGACCUCUCCUGGGACUUUGUAAGCUGGAACCAAAGGAAAAGGACCUGUUGCUUUCCAGAAGUAAAGAUGGGAAGACGUGAGUCUGUAGGCCAUGGCAGCCAUAUUUCCUGCCAGCUGGACCGCAUUCCGAGAGAAUGAGACGAAGGCAGAGAGAGGGAAGCAGAGGGCAGAAGCUGGAAAACUUUUGAGAGCAUUUUGAAUCCUGGGUCACUGAGGCCAGAAAUAACUCUGAAUUUUCCUUAUGUUUGUUUUAUGAGUCAAUAAAUAUUCCCAUCUUGCCUAAGAUAGUUUGAAUGGUAAAGUCCAGGCACUUGCAAUUCAAACAUUUCCCACUAAUGCACCAUCAUUUCUG
rnacentral:lncRNA from 1 species